UCCCUGGUAGCUCAGAGGGUAAAGCGUCUGCCUGCAAUGCAGGAGACACAGGUUUGAUCCCUGGGUUGGGAA
rfam:Ovis aries breed Texel chromosome 2, whole genome shotgun sequence.